CUAUGGGAUGCUGCAGUGAGGAAUAUUGCACAAUGGGGGGAACCCUGAUGCAGCAACGCCGCGUGGAGGAUGACACAUUUCGGUGUGUAAACUCCUUUUAUAUGUCAAGAAAAUGACGGUAGCAUAUGAAUAAGCACCGGCUAACUCCGUGCCAGCAGCCGCGGUAAUACGGAGGGUGCAAGCGUUACUCGGAAUCACUGGGCGUAAAGGACGCGUAGGCGGGCUUGUAAGUCAGGUGUGAAAUCCUACAGCUUAACUGUAGAACUGCACUUGAAACUACGAGCCUAGAGUAUGGGAGGGGCAGAUGGAAUUAGUGGUGUAGGGGUAAAAUCCGUAGAUAUCACUAGGAAUACCUAAAGCGAAGGCGAUCUGCUGGAACAUAACUGACGCUAAGGCGUGAAAGCGUGGGGAGCAAACAGGAUUAGAUACCCCAGUAGUC
rnacentral:rRNA from 1 species